rnacentral:lncRNA from 1 species
GGCUUUAUUAAUAAUCUAUGUUUUACAAAUUUGUUUAAUGUGACUUGAAUUUGAAUAUGCUGAAUGGAACUUGUCCUCAUGCCACUAGAUUGCCUAGAUCUCUAUGCCAGUGCCACUAGAUUACAAAUCAGAGUGAUUUUUUAAUUUCUCUUGGAAUUCAACCACCACCCUCUCUGGAAAAUCUCGCCAGAGUCGACCCCACUCUACAGAAUUGGAAACUUAAGUAGAAGAACUGAAUUUCUCUCGACUGCAUUUACCAGGAAGUAGAAUGGGCGAAGGUGGGGAGAUUUUUCCUAGUGAAAGAUGGGAAAAGAAUACCCAUAACUAGAAAAGAAGAACAAAGUAUUCUUGCCUAGCUUUUUUCAUCUUCCCAUCACCCCAAAGGUACUCUAGUAGUCCAUUGAACCUUCCUGGAAAAACAGCAGAAGGUGAUAUCAGUGCAACCUUCUUCUCUUCUGAAUUCUUCACCCCCAAUCCCACAGAGUGACUACGUGAGAUCAUUAAGGAAGAGUGAUCCAUUCCCUCACUGAUCUAUAGCUAUAGUAUUCUUAGUACUUAGUAAUAUGUUUUGAAGAAUGGUCAGUAAAAAAUAGGUCACCUCCAAAAUGAAUUCAGUAGAUAGCUCACAGCUGGGAGGAAAGGAUCAGUAAUCCUCAAAACAGAGGAAGAACUCCCCUUCACCGGCUUCAUCAACAAAUGGCAGACAUCCACACCCAACAUUGGUAAUCUGAGGAAAUUUCACUUCUCCCCCACUGAUCAGAAUUGGUACUUACGAAUAUGCAUCCUACUCCAAGCUACUUAUGUGUAAGUAAGCCCUCAAAGCGCGAUGCGCUGUGUGCAUCGUCUUUAAGUGGUUCCUAUCUGAAUCCGUUUAAAUUAUUAUAAAAUAAAACUCAGAAAUUCGCAUACAUCGCCUUUUGGCGAAUCAAUGCAAAUAAUCAAAUGUGUGAUGAAGGCUUCACUUGGGCCAAAGUGGAGGAGGUAGUUGGAGCAACAAAUGAUAGAGGUACCCGUACAGAGACCAUAUAUUGACAAGGUGACUUCAUCGGUGAAAGCGAGGGGGAGGGGAUAUUAAUGAUGUAGGUACCCCGUACCCAUACUAGAGACCUUAUCGUCGAGACUCGAGAUAAUAGGAUUUACCAUUGAAAGCGGUGCGACCAGAGGUGGUUAGCUAGAACUACCCAUUGCGUGAUUGACUGCAUACUUGUUUGUCGACCACCCUAUGGUUGGUUGACAAAUGUUACCCACUCUUGGACCAAGGCACUCCUUAACUUAAAGUUGUUAUUGUAAAAGACCAUUUUGCUCCUGUGAAUGUCUAUAUAUAGGAGUGACCCCCUCCCACACACACAUAAUGGGGGUUGGAUAUGUUGAGCACCUGCCGAAGGAGUAGAACGUUCUGCACCAGUUGACGAGUUUCAGGUCCUCAACCAUCGGGGUCGAUGUCAUUGGCGAGAAUCCACAUUCAAUAUGGGCCAGGGAGUAGUUAAGCUCGACUAUUCUCAAACUCAAGUUCUUGACUAUUAACCACUAGAUAGUUUAGUUUUUUGAGUUUAUGAACUUAUUUGCUUAGUUUUAUAUUUUGACAAUUAUGAAGUAUUACUGUAAGAGUUAUUUGUUCUUGGAGUUCUUUUGCUGACACCAUAAAUCAGCGGCUAUAGCGUUUUACCUAUUCUUUUUUUUUUUUGCAAUAUUCUACUUGUAAAUUUUUAUUUAAUUUUAGUUGGGUGGAUCCUUACCCAUGAUCCGGCUAAGGCAUAGCGCUAGGCGCUAUGCCCUGCCAGGCAGGCCACUAUAACGGUGCAAAAUUCUAUAUCUAUAGCGGCACUAUUUAAAAGUAUGGUUGACAUGCGGUGUAUUUUAAUGUUUAAACCUUAUUCUAAAAACAAACAGAACCACCUCGAACACCAAAUUUGUAAAACUUACUAAAAAGCAGAAGGAAGUUAAUGGAAGGGAAUUAAGAAGCAAAAGUAAAUUCUAAUGCUUAAGCUGUGUUUAUUCCACAUUGAUUUUAGCUUUGAUUUGUUGUUAAAUCGUGGAUCUGUAGAUCAGGAGUUCCUGAUGGACAACCUAGAUUUCUUCUAUCUUUCAUUCCCAAUUACCCGAUGUUGAACUUUAUGCUAACAAGUGUUAUAUAUAUUGCGGUAAGUCACCCUGUGUCCCUGUGAUAAAAAUAACAGACAUCUCAAAAUGAAAAUAAAAAUGUGAUUCAUGGUCUUUUUUUAUUUACCUUUUUUAGAUAUCACAUAGACUUUUUCAAGUGACAAAUACGUUGAAGUCUGCAUUCGUGCCGAGCCAAGAUGACAAACGACUGUUGCACAAUAUGAUUG